AGGAGCAUAGCCAAGUUGGUUAAGGCAGUGGGUUUUGAUCCCAUGAUCUCAGGUUCAAAUCCUGAUGUUCCUUCCA
rnacentral:tRNA from 2 species